AUAAGCUGCCAAAAGACCAAGCAGUGCGAAGCUCUUGGCUGACAGUGGUGCCUGCUAAUUUCCACUGCAAGGAUUUCGUCCACGAAUGUUAUCAUAGGUUACGCGCGACUCCAGAGGCAAUUUGGAAUCUCGGCACGAAAUCGUCUGAUGAAAAUCUGAGGUGCCCGACGCAUAACAUUUUGAACGUGCCACGGAGGAUCAAGGCAAAAAACGAGAGCAAAAAAUGGUGCACGCUGAAGGCGGAAAUGAAGCAUGAUCUGGCUUGCAUCUGGUCAUGAAGAAAUUGCUGACACGUUAGUUGCAGUCCACCUCCACCAACAGGGUGGAAAACAAAGAUCGCCAUUCCGAUUAGCUGCUAUCUCCCAGUUCAAGCACUUUUGUGUCUGGACACUGGUUCCUGUGGAUGGGGUGGUACAAGCUUUACUGUCUGAUAUAGAAGUGAUGAGCAUCCAUAAGGACACAUGCCAGAAAGGGAGUCUCUUUGGGAUGACAAACCCUCAUCACCUCAUGAGGAUACAAUGGUUGACGAAUGGUUCUCAAGCACAUCGAAACUUCCAACAAAUAAUUAAUGAAAAAGCCAGUCAGUGCUAGCACCAGGAAUUGAACGUGGGCCAUCCUGCUACCAGUCAGAGAUGUUCAGUGGUGUAGCCACGAGGGGGCUAGGGGGUCUCGAGCCCCCCCUACCUGCC